GAGCAAACUGUUCGGCUGAGAGAGCCAUCAAUUUCAACUUCAACUUCCCCAAACACUUGUCCAAGGGUAGUUCCAGUCCUGUGUUCCAUUCUUCAUGGAGGGCAUGGGGUGACUGUCUGCGUUUGUGACCCUCCAGUCAGCAUUGAGUUGACGGGCUACAGACACUUGCAGUUGGAGAACAGGCUGUGAACUGCUGAUAUCCUGCGUCCUUCAGCACAGUGAGCGCCAGUGCCACAGAUCAACGCAAUGUUUGAGCUGCCACAGACACCUUCAUCUUCUGGCCAUCGAAGUCAACAUGCCUUCUGAUCACCUUGUUUUUGCUGCAUGAAGACCCUCAGGAUCCUGAACAUUAUUCAGAUCAACAAUAUGUUGCCAUUUAACUGUUCCAAAGGGACUGAUGAUAGGACCGUAAGCCUUGAGCAUAUUUUUAGCUAAUUUCCUGAUCAGGUAGAUAUCUUCCCCUGAGGAAAGGCGGGUAAAUGAGGUCUUCAGAGGCUGUUCUUCUGGAUUUUACCAGAUAUGUUUCGACGGUAGGGUCACAGGGAUGUUGAUGUGUCAUGUGCUUUGAAAUGAGCUGAUGUUGUUAUGGAGGUGUGCCCUCCCUGUCAAUAUUGACAGGUUGGUCACACUUCCUACUGAGUUAUCCUUUUUGGAUGGUGGUCCAGGGGUGUGACGGCAUGUAUGCCCCAUCAUCCCUGUGAACAAAAACCAGGGAUGAGGGAGCAUACGUGCUCUAACACACCUGGCCCACCAUCCUAAGAUGACCACUCUAACAGCAGGAGGUUUGACCAAUAUCAACAGGGAGGGCACACCUCCACAACAACGUCAACUGAUUUUAAAGCACGUCACAUCAACAUCCCUGUGACCCUACCGUCGAAAUGUCUGAAGUAACCUGGUUAAUGGAUGGUGGUGGCGGGGUUCUAAUGUUGAUUGUGUAUAUAGUUGUCUUUUUUCAAUAAAUUGAAGUGUGGUCAGGA